GAAAGUGGCUCAGUGGUAGAGCGUCGCCUUGCCAAGGCGAAUGUCGCGAGUUCGAAUCUCGUCUUUC
rnacentral:tRNA from 1 species